rnacentral:rRNA from 1 species
ACUCCUACGGGAGGCAGCAGGUGGGGAAUAUUGGCACAAUGGGCGCAAGCCUGAUGCAGCCAUGCCGCGUGUGUGAAGAAGGCCUUCGGGUUGUAAAGCACUUUCAGUCGUGAGGAAGGUAGUGUAGUUAACACCUGCAUUAUUUGACGUUACCUACAGAAGAAGCACCGGCUAACUCCGUGCCAGCAGCCGCGGUAAUACGGAGGGUGCGAGCGUUAAUCGGAAUUACUGGGCGUAAAGCGCAUGCAGGCGGCCUGUUAAGUCAGAUGUGAAAGCCCGGGGCUUAACCUCGGAAUUGCAUUUGAAACUGGCAGGCUAGAGUCUUGUAGAGGGGGGUAGAAUUCAGGUGUAGCGGUGAAAUGCGUAGAGAUCUGAAGGAAUACCAGUGGCGAAGGCCGGCCCCCUGGAC